rnacentral:rRNA from 1 species
AUUGAACGCUGGCGGCAUGCUUUACACAUGCAAGUCGAACGGUAACAGGCCGCAAGGUGCUGACGAGUGGCGAACGGGUGAGUAAUGCAUCGGAACGUGCCCAGUCGUGGGGGAUAACUACUCGAAAGAGUAGCUAAUACCGCAUACGAUCUAUGGAUGGAAGCGGGGGACCGUAAGGCCUCGCGCGAUUGGAGCGGCCGAUGUCAGAGUAGGUAGUGGGUGGGGUAAAGGCUCACCAAGCCAACGAGCUGUAGGUGGUCUGAGAGGACGACCAGCCACACUGGGACGGAGACACGGCCCAUACUCCUACGGGAGGCAGCAGUGGGGAAUUUUGGACAAUGGGCGCAAGCCUGAUCCAGCAAUGCCGCGUGCAGGAAGAAGGCCUUCGGGUUGUAAACUGCUUUUGUACGGAACGAAACGGCUCUGGUUAAUACCCGGGGCUAAUGACGGUACCGUAAGAAUGAGCACCGGCUAACUACGUG